UGAUCUCAGAAACUUCCUUUCCUUCAGCAUCUGUAGUUUAAUAUCAGUCAGACAUAAUCUGGUCUCCUACCUCCCUUCCUAGGCAGUUCAAAGAAUCUGAUGUAGAAGGGACCAGGGCUGCUUCAGACUGGUGCCAGCAGCUCUGCACCACAUGCUCACCCUGCUCAGACACAGCUUCCAUCUGCAGCAGCCAUCAAAAUACUGUAUAUAAUUUGUAAAAAGUCCUUUAUCCACUUUAACUGUAGUUUCAAAAGCACCUCCAUCUUCACCUGCUUGGUUUGCAAUGACAAAGGACAGCUGAAAGCCCUUGAAGAUGAUGAAAGAACCCUUCUGGAGAGUAUGAUGCAGACAGAAAGUAUAGAGGGACCCCUACAUAAGAGCCAGAGGGAAGAUAACAUAAUGCCCUGGAAAGCAGAGAGGAAUCAUAAUAAAAACAGGAGAGGGAAGAUUCAAAGAAGCCAAGGGGAAUCAAGAGGAACAUCACAAGGAAUCUGACAUGUGAGGUUAGCUACCACUGAGUAUUAUUUCUCAGUAUGGGCAAGAAGAACAUAAUCUGCUUCCUCAAAACUGAAGCUAUAACCUGCUGGUACUAUGAACUUCUUAUCAUCCAAACUGAAUAAUCUGUAUUUCAGAUUCUCUACUCAAGGCUGGGGGAGGCUUUAUAAAUCUUUCAAGUGUCCAUCUGUUACU
rnacentral:lncRNA from 1 species